GUCUAGAGUUUAAGUCUUCAACAAAUAUUUGGUAUCAGAGCCUCAUCACAAGAGCCUGACCAAGAGAUAGAGAAAGGAAAGAUUGUCUGUGGUCGAAGUAUGGCUACAAAAAGCAACUUCGUUCAACCUACAGUUCCUAAGUUUGAUGGCCAUUAUGAUCGCUGGUCAAUGCUUAUGGAAAAUUUCCUUCGAUCGAAGGAAUAUUGGAGUUUAGUGGAGAAUGGAAUAACUGUGGCACCAAAGGAAGCGGUGUUGAGUGAGGCUUAGCGCAAGCUAAUAGAGGAUCAGAAGUUGAAAGAUUUGAAGGUCAAGAAUUAUUUGUUUCAAGCUAUACAUCAGAAGAUUAUAGAGAAUAGUCAAGGAUACAACGAAGCAAAUUUGGGACUCGAUGAAGCAAAAAUAUCAGGGUUCAACAAAGGUGAAGCGAGCACAAUUGCAAGCACUAAGAAGAGAGUUUGAGGUCCUGCAGAUGAAGGAAGGAGAAGGAGUGGACGAGUACUUUGCUCGUACUCUCACCAUUGUUAACAAGAUGAAGAUACAUGGUGAGAAGAUGGAUCAAGUUGUUAUUAUUGAGAAAAUUUUGAGGUCUAUGACUUCAAAAUUUGAGAAUCUAAUGAUUUGGACACUAACAAUCGAUGAGUUAUAGAGUAGCUUGCUAGUGCAUGAGCAAAGGAUGGAUGGGCAUAGAAGUGGUGACGAGAAGGUACUCAAAGUCUCAU
rnacentral:lncRNA from 1 species